GACAUUCAUACCCAUUCCUGGAGAAGCCAUGAGGAUCCUGGACACCACAACCUGAGAGAUAGCCUGCUGUGCAGCUUUCGUCGACUCGCCUAACCUGUUGUCAUUCUCAUCUGUUAUGGGAAUACCGUGUUGAAGUUCUCUGAAAGAGCAAAGCACGUGAAAUCAGAAUCAUGGGACAUUUUCACCAUUAGUGUUGUGACGUCUCGAGGUCAAAGCCAUUGUGUAUUGCAACGAUGACGCACUUUGAGUGUCGCACGGCCUCCUUACCUUUGUCUCAUCAGUGGGAUGUUGAUACAGUUAGCAGCAGCUACAGCAGCAAAUGGAACAAACCGACCAAUCAGGGGUGAGAUGUGCUACAGCAGGAGAGAGGAGGCAUAAAAACAAAAAGCUGAACUACUGGCAGACCAGGGACACACCAAAGCGCAUGCAGGAAUCUGCAGCAACAUGAUGAAACUCCACCUGAAAUUGCACCAAAGAUGGCUGCUGGAUUGACAAUAAAACCAAAAACUCUCGUUUGCUGGCGGCAGGAGGCGAGCUUUCUCUUUAAAUGUAAUUAAACUCCAUGGGAUUCUCACGAGAUGACAACAAAACACCCCCCUUCUUUGAGAUUGCCCAAUGACAAACUGUAUGGAUAUCACUGUACGGGUUUGAACGGAGCGAUUCCUGCUGUCAAACCCGUAAUAACAUUAAUAAAAUAGUUCAUAAAUGAA